GUGAGGAAUAUUGGUCAAUGGGCGAGAGCCUGAACCAGCCAAGUCGCGUGAAGGAAGAAGGAUCUAUGGUUCGUAAACUUCUUUUGCAGGGGAAUAAAGUGCAGGACGUGUCCUGUUUUGUAUGUACCCUGAGAAUAAGGAUCGGCUAACUCCGUGCCAGCAGCCGCGGUAAUACGGAGGAUCCGAGCGUUAUCCGGAUUUAUUGGGUUUAAAGGGUGCGUAGGUGGUUUGAUAAGUCAGCGGUGAAAGUUUGCAGCUUAACUGUAAAAAUGCCGUUGAAACUGUCGGACUUGAGUGUAAAUGAGGUAGGCGGAAUGCGUGGUGUAGCGGUGAAAUGCAUAGAUAUCACGCAGAACUCCGAUUGCGAAGGCAGCUUACUAAGCUACCACUGACACUGAAGCACGAAAGCGUGGGGAUCAAACAGGAUUAGAUACCCGGGUAGUCC
rnacentral:rRNA from 1 species